GGGGCUGUGGCUCAGCGGUAGAAUGGCUGCUUGGCACGCAGAAGGUCCCAGGUUCAAACCCUGCCAUCCCCA
rnacentral:tRNA from 1 species